AUUGAACGCUGGCGGCAUGCCUUACACAUGCAAGUCGAACGGUAACAGGUCUUCGGAUGCUGACGAGUGGCGAACGGGUGAGUAAUACAUCGGAACGUGCCCGAUCGUGGGGGAUAACGAAGCGAAAGCUUUGCUAAUACCGCAUAAGAUCUACGGAUGAAAGCAGGGGACCGCAAGGCCUUGCGCGAACGGAGCGGCCGAUGGCAGAUUAGGUAGUUGGUGGGAUAAAAGCUUACCAAGCCGACGAUCUGUAGCUGGUCUGAGAGGACGACCAGCCACACUGGGACUGAGACACGGCCAAGACUCCUACGGGAGGCAGCAGUGGGGAACUUUGGACAAUGGGCGAAAGCCUGAUCCAGCCAUGCCGCGUGCAGGAUGAAGGCCUUCGGGUUGUAAACUGCUUUUGUACGGAACGAAAAGACUCUUUCUAAUAAAGAGGGUCCAUGACGGUACCGUAAGAAUAAGCACCGGCUAACUACGUGCCAGCAGCCGCAGUAAGAC
rnacentral:rRNA from 1 species